ACUUCGAAUCUAUAGUAAAUGUUGUUAAUGGGGUUUUUUCGGGAGUAUAUGGGUGAAAGUUUAAUUGGGCCUUAGAAACACAGAUUCAGAGUUUUUACAUUUGUCAGAAUAUGAAGUGUUUUAAUUCAGGUACGAAAUCAUUAAUGGCUUUUGUGGUGUUUAUAACCACAAAUGUUUUGGUAAAUCAAUAAUAACUUGUCAAAAAUAUAAAUAAGACAUACCAAAGUAUUGAGGGUAAGAUUUUUGCUACUAGACAUUGCCUUACAAACAUAAGAAACUCCUUUCCUACUAAUAUUCAAUUUUCACAAAACACUAGCAGCCAUAUGAAUCUUUUGGAUAGGUUUCUAAGAUAAUUUUUUAGAACUUUGAUUAUUGAAUGAAAUGCUUCUGGCUUGCAUAUUACAAUAAAAAAAAUAAAUGUAGGUUAUGUUUGAUGAGCCAUGAAAAAAUCUGAGGCUCAUACAAGUUGUUCCCUUAUAUUACUGCCGUGUGCUUUAAGAUUAUUAUCACUAUCAUUAGUAUUUGAGGCUCAAACAAGCUUACAUUACUGGUGUAUGCUUUAAGACCAUGAUCAGUGUCAUUAUUAUGGGGCUCGGUGCCACGUCAGGUCUACCAACUCCUUGGGCAAAUUGAAGAAGCACGUACUUGGCAACAAAGAGAGUGCUGUAGAAGCGUACAAAAGGUGAAGAGCCUAACAGAAAGAGACCAUGGACUGUGUGGCUCUUCUACCCAGCUUGCAGGUCUGGAAAACAGGGCAGCUUUCUAUUGGAACCAUUUCCUAUGUUGAGUCGACUUGAUGUGUAAACCAGAGAAGUCCAGCACCCAAGAUGAAGCUAUUUGAUGACGGCAGUAAUUUUGACUUGCCUCCCCAUGAUGUACAAACAUUGCUGAAAGAAGCCAGGUUUGAUCAUCAGUCAUCGCCAUGAAAGAGGGACGAUACAAGAAAGCUGUGCGUUGUUUUCACAGCAUCGCCACACCUUGGGUAUCAUUUCACAUGCCUACUGCUGUGCCAGUUUAAAAGAAAAAAAUGAAUAAACUCUUUGUCAACUGAUAUGUGCUGGACUUGUGCAAUCAAAACAGACAGGGGAAGUAGCAGUAAAAUAAAUUACCCAGCCAUACUGUAUUAUAUAACAUAUAAGAGUUAGUAUAGGUAAGGAAAAAUGUGGAAAGUUACAGCAUUUCAGUCCCCGGAAAAGUCAGUGUUUAAAGAAAUUCUUUAAAAAAUCUGGAAAUUUUCUAAAAAUUAUGGGCCAAUGAGCCAUGUGAUUAGUCACUCGUGACUUAAUCUCCAGCCCACAUGGCUUUAGGUUGUCAUCUGCUCGAUGUGAAGACUCCGCAUAUAACAGUUUGUGGCACGAAAAUAAGCAGUAACCAGUGAAAGUGGAAAAUAAUAUCAGGUCAGGACAUAGCAUGGAACUCUUAUAAAUC